UCCGGUAUGGUGUAUCGGUUAACAUAUGUGCUUUUCAUUUCAUCAAAGUGGACAGUUACGCACGUGCGCGGGGUUCGACUCCCCGUACCGGAA